rnacentral:lncRNA from 1 species
AGGGCCGCACCUGCUGCAUAUGGACGUUUCCAAGCUAGGGGUCAAAUCAGAGCUGCAGCUGCUGGCCAACACCACAGCCACAGCAAUGCUAGAUGUGAGCUGUGUCUGUGACCUACACCACAGCUCACGGCAACGCUGGAUCCUUAACCCAUUGAGUGGGGCCAGGGAUUGAAGCCUUGUCCUCAUGGAUGCUACGAGUUGUUGCUGACUUGAGCCAGCUGAGGCGGCUUUGAGGCUGGGGUUGAAAUCUUCUGAAAGUGUGCGUGCUCACAUGUGUAGUGGUUGCUGCUGACUGCUGGCUGAGGUUGGGUCACUUGCAUGUGGCCUUUCCGUGUGGCCGCGUGGCUUCCUCACAGCAUGGUGGCUGGGCUGCAAGGGUCCAAUGGUGAGUGGCACCCAAAAGAGAGAGAGUCAGGUACAAAUUCUAUCAGUGUUUAUGACCUCGCCAUGGAAGUCUUGCCACUUUUGCCACAUUCAAUGCACCAGGGCAGUUACAAAAUCCUGCCGAGAGUCAGAGAGAGGGGAGUAGACACCUGCUCUUGAUAGGGGAGUAGGACGAGUACCAAGGAAUCCAUAUAUUAUUGUGAGAUUUGGUUGAGGAAAAUAAAUUCUGCCACAGAUGGAGUGGCUACUUACGGACGUGAAGAGAACUAGAAAGGGAGAAGGCUGGGGCGGCUGAGUUCAGGAGCUGAUAUCAGGAGUUUGAGAUGAUUUUGUGUGACGUGCCCCUUGGACUUUCAAACGGAGAGCCAGGCAGGCAGGUGUAUUUGUGAAUUUAGAGGUCAGGGAUGUCACCACUGCAUAGUUCACGUUUAAAAUCAGAAAGCCAGAUAACAUGACCAGAGACGUGGGUGUAAAUUGAAAAGAAUGUGAUCCAAGAAUCGAGUUCUGGGGCCCCCCGACGUUCAGCAGUAAAGGAAACAUGGGGCAAAGGAGACUGACGAGGGGAGGCCAGGGAUGCGGUGCGGCAUCCCGGAAGCCAGGUGAGAAAAAUGCUGCAGGAGGAGGCAAUGGACAAGAUUUUUCAAAGGCUCGUAGUUUGUGAUUAUGUGAUGGGAAACACCUGAACAACUAUUUGUAGUCCUAACGCGGGAUGUCAGGCUCCAUCCAUUCAAGUUCGUCUCUCCUCCGAUGGAUCAGAAGCUUCUGGAGGGCAAGGAUGUUAGCUUUGGUCAUCUGUAUGCCCUUUGAGAUCCUAUCAUGAGGUUCCCCACACAAUAGGUACCUGACAAGUCAGAGUGAACAGACCUUACCACCAGAGAAAUGCCGUACAAGUUAAAUUCCCUGUGAAGAGCAGUUGGAAGCGUGAGAAGGGUGAUUCCCAUCAUCUGUGGUCGUUACGUUCUGUAACGUGAGCGCUGAAACAGUGAGCACUGAACCAUCCCUCCAUCACUGGUGGAAAGACACGGUUAGAUUCCAGGGAGCCUCACAAGUUUCGACUGUGGAUCAAGACAUGACCUUCUAUCAUCCGUGUUUCUGUGUAAAGACACCUGUCGUGUGCUGUUAAUUCCUUGGCAUUAAGCUCACAGUCAACAACACUGUAAGGCGCGCCCGAAGGACGCUUACCAAACACACAUCUUCUCCAUCACAGCCUCUCCUGUGAUCGGGAGCCUCGGACAGCCCUUUAGCACGUGCUGGGGAGCCGUCUUCAUGACAUCGCCAACAAAAUGCAUGAAAACGUGGCGAGGAUGACCUUAGACAGGCCAUAAGAAGGAUGUCUGUUUACCGUUAGGGAGCUGAACCAGGAGGUUGAGCUGCCCCUCAGCCAGAAACUCACGCUUCGGGUGACUCAGCUUUAAAAGCGGCUCGCGCAUGUCUGCUAAUGACCGAAGGACGGAGCGUGUUCCUUUGCGAUUACAAAUGCUUGAGCAAGCAGGCAGAUUUGCAAGUACGGAACCUGAAUCAUCAGCAUGACUGUAGCUGAGCUGAAUGGAAGGGCCCUAAGAAGGGUAUCGUAGCUUUUUCUCCGUACAUCCCUCAGGGAAGGGGUCGGAACUUCAGUAUUUUUUAACUUUCAGGAUGGCAUCAAUACUUUGGGGCAUAACACCUUGCACAAGUAACACUGAAAUUAUAGUUUGUCUUGAUCUCCUCAGUUGGACAUCAGAUUUUAUGAAAAAACGGCUUACCGUUUCUGAGUCUAUCCUCUCCGGUUAGUUUGUUCUUCCCAUAGUUUCCUAAGUUAGAUGCUCUGAGCAGGUGUUUUUAUUAGGACACUGAGGUCAUUGAACAGACUAGAAAUUGGGGUACCCCCUUAACACUCUUGGGGAAGAGAGGCUCCUGCAGUGUGUUCCAGGGUCCAUAGCUGAGUCCACCUAGAAUCCCCCCAUAGCACAAAGGUGUUUGUCCAGGCUCUCAGUAUGGUGCCAGUGGCAAUUUGCAGAAAUUCUCUGGAAGAUUUAAAAGCCCAUAAAUUGCCGGGUAGGUGAAAGCUGGGAACAGCCAACAACGUCAUAGUAUUUAUGGAGAUUGAGCCAGAGCAGACCUGGGUCGCCGAGGAGAGGGGACCACCUCCCUCCUGAAGAUGCCAUGAACGUCCUGUGACUUAGAACAGCCCAGAUUGGCCUUUAAGGGAGAACAAUAGCUUGAUCUUUUGGUUUUAAUAAGCAAUUUCCUAAAUAGCUAAAUUAAAUGUAAGAGGAAAAUGAAACAUGAACAGAAAUGUAAACCCUAUCCUUUAAAAAUGCCUUUAUAACUUUCCAUGGAACAAUUUUUUGUAUAGUUAAGGAAAAGCAAAUUUGUCAUCUCUUCUGACAGCCUCAACCUAUUUGGUUUCUAAUUCCUAAAGGAGUCCUUUUGCUCAUUGAAGAUUAAAACUCAGCUCCCCCAUCAAACACCCACUGCUUGCUUGCAGCUGAGGAAUCCCUCUGGGGAAGCUCAAGCCCCCGCCCCGCAAGGCCAUGGCUCUGUGUCCAGUCCCUGUUGGACGCCACUGCAUAGCAAAUCCAAGACAAGCCACGGGCCUCCAGGAGAGAGAGCAGUGCCAAUCCAGCCAUUAGGCUGCUCAGCCUCCCUCCCUCUUCUCUUUCCCUAAAAUUUGUCUUCCUGCCAAGAUAAUGUCCAGGCUUGUGCAGAUGCAAGAAGCAGCACAGAAAGCCACUCCACUUUGUUUUGCCUGGAAGUUAACCUUGAACUCUCAAAGGAGCACUUAGUCUUCUAUGAAACAACACCCUCCAAAUACAGCAACCCCGCCAUUCUGGAGGCCAGCCUGCCAUUGACCUCAGCCUUUCCAGCCACGAAAGGUUUUGGAAAAGGUCCUUGAGGAAAGGGCAGUCAGAAAGCCCCUCAAUUUUUCUCAGGCCAGAGGGCCAGGCAGAUUAAGGAGGGGGCCCCGGAGUGGGGUGGACCCUGCCCAGGACACUGGUAUUCAAUGCACAUUAAAAUUCUACUGGAAUGAACCAGAAAUGCCAUAUCAGUUAACUUAGGCUUUCGCUUGCAGGUCUUCUGUGGAAGUGAGUUAUUCCUUGCUGCAAGCUUCCCCAUGUGGAUCUGCUUAACCAAGCAUUCCUUUUUGUGAGACCUCCAGGUGGGCAGUGGGCACAGCAGAAGCCCAGCCUCAGCCUCCCCCCCACACACGUGUGCCCCCAGGCGGACCCUGGAGUCCUGUUUCUGUCAGCUGACCUGUGAGCUGAACAAUGCGUGGCUCCUAAGAUGCUGUUUCCUGGGAAGAAUCUCUUUUUUUUUUUUUUUUUUAAAUAUAGUUGAUUUACAGCGGAAUGAAUGCUUUUAAAAAACUCUUUCCUUGUCUGAAUGAGAAGCUCUUUAACAUACAAACACUCUAACUUAGAAAAUUGCCCACAAUCAGCAGAAGUUGCCAGUCUCCUGUUUUGAAUAUGAAGAAAGGAGUAUAUGAUUUUUAUUCAUAGACGUUUCUCACCCACACUGUGUGAAACAAACCUGCAACAUCAUUUCUCUCUUGGGAGCCACUGUGUCUGGCCCUGCUGGUUUGCCUUGCCUGGUGAAUUGUUCCUUCCCUGUCCCCAACGGCUUGGGGAUGGACCACUUAACAGCAGCACAUCUGCUCUGCGAGAGCCAAGUGUUAGGGGAGCGUUCUUGGGCUCUCAAGUGCGGGUGACCAACUAUUGUGGAUUUUCCGGCCGGAGGAUUUCCAGCGCUAACAUGAGGAAAGUCCCUUCCAGGCGGUCACCUUACUUCAGGCCAGCUUGAGCCUAAGGAGACAGCAGGGUAAGGGGUUUGCCAAUGUGGGCGUUGGAGCGGACUGCGUGGAUCAGGGCCCGUCUCCAUCACUUAACUUGCCAGGUAACCGCGGGCCGGUGACUUAACCUCACGCCUAGAAAUAACAUCUACCUCCUAGGGCUGUCUGAGGCCAGGAUGCAGUCAUGCACAUAGAAUGCCUCUCAGUGUGCUGUGCACAGAGCAGGUGCCCCUAAGCCGUAGCUGUUCCCUUACCUUAAGGACUUGAUGGGAUAGCACAGUAGUGGGGGGGGGGGUGAUCCCGCGAGAGACAUAGCAACUGAAAUACUCGACGGCCGCCCAGAACAAUCAAGACAUCAGCAUUCCUGACACCUUCAGAAGGUGCGAAGGUAGACUUGUGUUCUUCCUUUUGGAAACUGUUUCUCAAAACCAAUUUGACUUUGAAAAGUUUGGGUGCCUGUGGGGACACAUUUCAAUUAUCUGGGAAAUCCAGGCGGAUGGAUUUUUUUUUUAACUAAGAGAACCACAACCCUGCGCGCUCGAUGCUCUGCAGCCUCAAGGGGGUGGCAGGGGGGGGGAGCCUGUGGCUCAUUAGUCCUUCGGGACACAGUACCCGGCUGCAGAUCCUUGGCGUGUGCUGCGGAAAACCUGAGCUGGGGCUCCAGACACAUGUGUUUUAGAUCAGUGGUAAUAGAGUCUCCGUCUGAAGCUCUUAUUUCCUGUCAGUAAAUUUUUGCUGAGUCAUUUGAGCUCAUGCAUCUUCUGAGAGUGGAGUCACGUGGACCAGGAGACACUGCUGUGGUCCCACCGCUUGCCUGUGGGCACAUAUUUUUGCAAACUUGAUUCAACCAAUGUUCCUUCACAGGAAUCAGUAUUCCCACAUACGCUGCACUGAGGUGGGGACCUGGAGCUCACUGCGGGGGGCGGGGGGGUGUCCAGCUUUGUCCGCAAAGAGCUUGCUUUCUAGUGGAGAGGACGCGUCCAUGUUCAAGGAGCACAAGUCGAAUCUUAAAAAAGCAUUUUAUAAACUAUAAACAGAAAUACAAACCAUGUGACCAGGAAGCACAGAAUAAUCCUUCCGACUGGGGAGAACUGCAAAGGAAAGCACAUGGAGCUAGGCCUGGGAAGGAAAGUAGAAUAAGGAUUUUGAAAAGCUGAGAAAGGGAAAGCAAGCAUGGGCAGAGGGCAUGAGGAAGCUAUAAGAUGUAUGCAGGUUCCGAGCAUCGUGCCGGGCAACCAGCAGGCUUGACUGGACCACAGGAAGCCCAACGUUGGUCUCCCGAGAGAUCAGGGGGCCAGCUACACGGAGGUGUGGAAUGGAUGCCCGACUCCAGCGUUUGCACUUUCUUUCCUGUGCAAGAAGGAAGGGAAGGUGUUCAAGCGAGGGAGCCUGUGACCACCGCUAGGUCUUAGCCAAGUGACCUGGUGCAGGAGGGAGUCUGCGGGCGGUUCUGUGUGGGAUGCAGGAGGUCAGGAGAGAGCGGCCGUAUUAGGUACCCAGUGCAGGUCACUUUGACGUGCCUCAACUGUGGAUGUGCCAGAGAGGACGGCAGGGAGGGAAGAGAGGGGACUAGGGAGACACUUGGGCAGAAAGAGAAGACUUAUCUGCAUCCAUCACACCCAGUGCCAGGGUGGAACUGGGCAGGCGGGUGGCAGCCAGGAAAGGAAGAAUGAAUAGGAAAGCCAUCUGGGGAGAGCCCCAGAGCUGAUGGUGGUGAAUGAAGAUGGGGAAGUGGGCUUAGUGCCGCCUGGAAGAAAGGUUGCCCUGCACCUUAAUGAGACUGUGAAAGCGGCCAAUGACAGCGGUGUCCUGUCUCCUCAGGACGAAGCUCAGGCUGAGGUCUGAGGAAUGUGGAGGAGACGGAAGAAAGAAGUCCCAAAGGGGGACCCGAGUGCAGGUGGCGUUUUCCUAUGAGCUCCAAUCUCGGCAUCACAGCCUGGACACGGAAAGAGAUGGCCCCCUCCAGCCCCCUGCUUGAAGCCCAGCUCAGCCCCUCCUGGGUCCCUUGAUUCCUCCUUCACAGAAAAGGCAGCAUCGCUCUUGCACAAGGCAAUGGAUGUGGAUUCACCACUGGAAAUAGCUAUGUCAAAUUCCGUCGUUAAUUUAAAGCAAACACACUGAAUAUAGCAGGAAU